ACGAGCCUGAGUGACCGAGUCAGUGGAAGGGUGGCCUCUGAUUGUGUGCACGGUCAGAGGCCACUUCUCACCCCUGCAGAUGAAGAUUCCCUGGUAGAGUACUGCAUUUACUCUGCCAGUCAUGGGUUUCCACUGACAAAGCCUCAGGUUGGGCCAGACGUGGUGGCUCAACUUCCAGAGGAGGCAAGGCCAGCGCUUCACUUCUCGGACCCCAGACAAUAUUGACCCUGGGAGGGCAUCCUGUGCAAAGAGGGGGCCAAUUGAACACUACUUCAGGCUCCUCACUACCACCCUGGAGGAGCACGGGUAGAGGGAGAAACCCCGUCAAAUCUAUAACUGCGAUGAGACGGGGUUUCUCGUCGAGAAGAAAGGUCCUCGUGCCCCGGGGGACAAAACAUGCUUAUAGACAGGCCCAGGGGACCAGGGACCACGUCACCGUCCUGGCCUGCCUCAACGUGGCUGGGGAGGAUAUCCCCCCUUUCAUAAUUUACAAGGGGGGAUAUCCCGGGGGGCCCUACAACAAGGAGGGGGUCCCCGAUGCCCUCUACAGGAAGUCACCGGCAGGGUACAUGGACAGUGAGCUGUUCAGGAAGUGGGACCUCCUCGCCACCUCCGCCAACCCCAUUAGCAUCAUCCUGGGCCAUGCCUGAUGUUACCCACCCAUCCCAACACCCCCCCCCAACACACACACCAGAGUCCACCCCCUGUUCCUAGUCCACCCAAUCCCUACUGUACCCAUCCCCUGGUAACAUCAGGCAGGAUCUCAGUAGACCUGGCCCACCUCCUGCCCGAGGUGCGUUAUAACACCGGCAAGGUCAGGAGGAAUACCACCAAGGCCAGGAUACUGACGGCUCAGGAGAUGUCUGACGCCAUCGAGGAGGCGGAGGACCGUGCUGCAAGGCGGGACGCCCAAGCUCCGGCCAGAGAGCAGCGGCGGGCCGAAAACAACGGCCCGACAGCCACUUCCUCUACCCUGCCUGGUGGCUCCCGUCCCAGCCGCAGGAGAACAGCAUCCCCCGGGGCUGCCUCGGCCUCCAGCUCCAGCCUUUCCAUCGCCGGUCCCUCAACCCGCUCGGCCCCUCUAGUGCCUCCCACGGUCACCGGCUGCCUGCCCCCAGCGGAACAUCCCCACCUGCCUGCCUGCUCCUGGCUGGCUACUGGAUGA
rnacentral:lncRNA from 15 species